AUGCAGAUUGCUGGACUCAACACCCUCGGCAUCUCAAUUGCACGCAUCGACUAUGCUCCCUUGGGUCAGAACCCACCACAUACGCACCCUCGCGCCACUGAGAUCCUCACGGUGCUCGAGGGGACAUUGUAUGUUGGCUUUGUCACAUCCAACCAGCCCGCCCCCAACAGAAACAAGUUCUUCUCCAAGGUGCUCAACAAAGGUGAUGUGUUUGUCUUCCCCGUGGGGCUCAUCCACUUCCAAUUCAACCCCAACCCCCACCAGCCCGCUGUUGCAAUUGCCGC
rnacentral:rRNA from 1 species